rnacentral:piRNA from 1 species
UGGUGCGCCGUUUCUUAAGCCGGUCUGA